CUCAAGUUCAAUCCUUAGAAUGGGAUUAGGAUUUUGAGCACUAACUAAAUUGGAUUUCCAAAGGCAACCACAGACGAUUCAGCCUUUACUAAUUUACGGUCCAGAGAAAAAACAACUUGCGCCAAUGCAGGCUCACUUUUAGUUCAAGAAAGUGGAUACACCCUGGACUGGUCAGCAGCCAAUCGCAAGGCACAUAUAGACGAACAACCUCGUCCUUAUUAGGGAUGAGCUGUAUCCUAUCCCAAUUGAAAUUUGGUGAAAGACGCAGGGGAUAUAUACAGUAAAUAUUCCCAUCCCCGGAAUUCUAUGGAAAGGAAUAUCCUUCACCCGGAAUAAAAACCCAUGCAUUAACAUUUUGACUACGAUAUUACGUGUUACCGGAACUUGCGUAAGCGGAAAUUCCACUACCCGUAACCCGGAUAGAGGUGUAAUGCCGCGGGAGCUUAAAUACACGCAACAGCCACCCGAUGCGACGGAAAAUACACAACGCUGAAACAAGUUUUCACUUCGCGUUUUUCGAUCAUCAGAUUCUAAACGACGACGAAUCAUCGCAUCGAAACAUAGAAGAACUGUAACGACUGGAGCGGAGCGAGUGAAAUGCAUCCGUUUGAGCGAGGCUGGACACAAAGUUAAAAAGAUCCAGCAGAC